rnacentral:lncRNA from 1 species
UUCUUCUUUCCCUACAAAAUAAAAUUAAGAUACAUACAAUCAUAACCGAGCUUCAUGAGAAUAUACAAUGUUUUUUUUAUCGGUCGAUCGAUCGAUCGAUCAGGGACAGUGAGUAUGCCACUGCCACCCCUCUUUCUUCUUUGCUCUCUUCAGUUUAACUUACCACUGCCCACUUUGGACGGUGGGCCCACUGGUCCUUCCUCUCUAUUUUGACCAUUUUCAAAAAGACGGUGCACACCCAAUCACCCGUACCAUGUAAUUGAUUGUAAUUCAACUCAGCCAAUCAGGUUUCGCCAGCCAUCCCACGGCCCGGGCGCCCACUCACAA